rnacentral:rRNA from 1 species
CAAUAGCGUAUAUUAAAGUUGUUGCAGUUAAAAAGCUCGUAGUUGGAUUUCGGGAUGGGCCAGUCGGUCUGCCGUAAGGUAUGUUACUGGCUGGUCUGUCCUUCUUCGCAAAGACUGCGUGUGCCCUUAAUUGUGUGUGCGUAGGAUUUGCGACGUUUACUUUGAAAAAAUUAGAGUGUUCAAAGCAGGCUGACCGCUUGAAUACAUGAGCAUGGAAUAAUGGAAUAGGACUUUGGUUCUAUUUUGUUGGUUUCUUGAACCGAAGUAAUGAUUAAUAGGGACAGUUGGGGGCAUUCAUAUUCCAAUGUCAGAGGUGAAAUUCUUGGAUUAUCGGAAGAUGAACUUCUGCGAAAGCAUCUGCCAAGGAUGUUUUCAUUGAUCAAGAACGAAAGUUAGGGGAUCGAAGACGAUCAGAU